rnacentral:lncRNA from 11 species
UUAGAAUCAUUUUUUACGGCCAUCAUGGUGUCCUGUCAUGCAGGUAGUAUUGUAAUGAUGCGUCUUGAACAACGACUUAAGCCCAGUAAGCACAAGUAGAUCCCAUGUACAUAGGGUAAAUGAAACGUUCAUCAAACGUACCAUGUGAGGUGUUCUUCAAGCUAUUGGAUACGAUUUUGCCAAAAUAUUACGAUCAACCAGUCAUCGGAUUCUUUUAUGGCCCUGUGGCCUUUAUCAGCGCAGUUACCCCUGAGGCAGCCGAGGCCAUUCUCUCUAGUCCGAAGUACCUUAACAAAACGUUCCUCUACCAUUUCAUGGAACCCUGGUUAGGCAGAGGUCUUCUCACCAAAGAGCGCGUUAGGAAUACAGCUACGUGAGGAUGAUCCAGAACAUAUUGGCUUUUUCAGCAACUGUGAUCAGUGAUUGACCCUCAAAUGGCGGAAAUGCCUCUAAUGUCUAAUGAACAGUACGGAGUCGAUAAGAGCUUUAUGCAUAUCCUACUGAGCACGCUUCGACGCGGACUUAUCGUUAGAGAAGAAGUUUGAGAUCACGUUGCCACUUUCAUCGUUGGGGGUUUUGACACGACCGGAACGUCACUAGCGUACACCUUGCAUCUAUUGGGGAACAACCCGAAAAUAUUCAAGCGCCCGCAGCUUGAAGUGGAUACGGUGUUACAGAACGAAAAAUAACGCUUCAAAGAAGCAGCUUAAAAUGAUGCCGUACCUCGAUGCAGUUUACAAGGUCUGCCAAUAACCGGACAAUAUCACGUAGUAACCUGGCUUGGGGUCGCUGCGACUAUACCUGGUAGUCCCAUUGAUAGCACGCAACCUCGCACGUCCCAUUCGGGUAGGACCGGUUGAUGUUCCCGCUGGACCCACAGUCUUGUGCAUAUCUACCACUUGCACCGUAACCCGUACGUUUGGGACAGACCCAAUGAGUUUGACCCGGAACGGUUUCUUAAGCCCGCUGCGAAAAGG